rnacentral:lncRNA from 1 species
AUAUUUGUGAGCCAUUUUCAAUAGGCCAGGUGCAUUUUUGGCCCUUUUCACUGUAAAUUCAGACAUGUCUUGUGUUUUCUUUCACAGCAGCGGUUUUCUAAAUUCAGAUUGAGCCAUCUUGUUUGGAGUUCCUCGACACGUUCGGUGCCGUUGCUAGGCUACUCAUAGUACCUCUUUGUAGUUUUCCUUGAGAACAUGUGAACAGAGUAAGAAUCUUGGAAGUCCUCGGAGCCUCCAUGUGGACAAAUCAGUACUUAAUUUUUCACACACCUAACAUGCUUUGAUUCACAUUUUUUCCCUUUUUUAUUUCUUUAUACUUUGCACUGCGGCAACACCGACAACUAAUUUCUUCCGCCAAAAAAUUACACUGUAUAUAAAAGGUAAAAUUUAUUUUUUAUCUUUAUAUAUUAUGUUUUGAAUCCCUUCGACACAAUCCAAAAAUAUAGCUUAGUAAUCAAGAAGGUUUAAAAUCUUUGUGAGGUCAUUGGUCCAAUUCCACUAGCUAUAAUUUCUUUUAAUUUUUAAUUUUUUUUUAACCCCUUUAGCAGAAAUUGUGCCUCCGCACAACUUUGGUGGAAGAUGAGUCUUCCUUGCUGGAGGAAUAACUUGGCGCAUCCCUUUCGCAGUUUCGCGACUUUGGCAGAGGCUUUGGUUAAAGAACAAAAUAUGUUGCCCUCAGAGAUGGUAGUCAUUAUUCGAGAUCUGUUCUUCUUGGCCAUAUCCAAAGAAGUGAAGUAAUCAGUGUUAGGUUUUUUUAUAUGAUAAAUAAGAGGUGUGGAUUAUAUGGAGAGAAAAAAUUUGAAAGGAAACAAAAUGUUUGAAGUGUUGCUUUUACUUAGACACUUUGUUCCUCAUAGGAAAAUGUAAAAAAAAUAACAUUGCGAUUAUAUGGAACGCACAUCUUCUAACUCUUAAAAAAGUUGAGAAGAAGUGGUGCCUCGCCCCGCCGUCGUUGCACGCUCGACUUCAGAUUUGAUAAAUUUUCUCGACUAAAUUUAUUUCCC